rfam:Anaerolineaceae bacterium 4572_32.1 ex4572_32.1_scaffold_12298, whole genome shotgun sequence.
GGGCGGUUAGCUCAGCUGGCUAGAGCGCCGCGUUGACAUCGCGGAGGUCGUUGGUUCAAGUCCAAUACCGCCCA